rnacentral:pre_miRNA from 1 species
UUAACUCACAUUUGUAUGCAGUUGGAACAGCGCCCCUAGCGGCAAAAGUAGGCAAACGUUCCAACUCUAUACAAAAUUGAGUUA